AUUUGAAAUCUGGCGCAAGCCCGAGUUGUAAUUUGUAGAGGAUGCUUCUGGGUAGCGGCCGGUCUAAGUUCCUUGGAACAGGACGUCAUAGAGGGUGAGAAUCCCGUAUGUGACUGGCUUGCACCCUCCACGUAGCUCCUUCGACGAGUCGAGUUGUUUGGGAAUGCAGCUCUAAAUGGGAGGUAAAUUUCUUCUAAAGCUAAAUACCGGCCAGAGACCGAUAGCGCACAAGUAGAGUGAUCGAAAGAUGAAAAGCACUUUGGAAAGAGAGUUAAAAAGCACGUGAAAUUGUUGAAAGGGAAGCGCCCGCAACCAGACUUUGCGGCAGUGUUCGGCCGGUCUUCUGACCGGUUUACUCGCUGUCGUGAGGCCAUCAUCGUCUGGGACCGCUGGAUAAGACCUUAGGAAUGUGGCUCCCCUCGGGGAGUGUUAUAGCCUCUGGUGAUGCAGCGCGUCUCGGGCGAGGUCCGCGCUUCGGCAAGGAUGAUGGCGUAAUGGUUGUCGGCGGCCCGUCUUGAAACACGGACCAAGGAGUCUAACAUCUAUGCGAGUGUUCGGGUGUCAAACCCCUACGCGUAAUGAAAGUGAACGGAGGUGGGAACUUUUUGUGCACCAUCGACCGAUCCUGAUGUCCUCGGAUGGAUUUGAGUAAGAGCAUAGCUGUUGGGACCCGAAAGAUGGUGAACUAUGCCUGAAUAGGGUGAAGCCAGAGGAAACUCUGGGUGGAGGCUCGCAGCGGUUCUGACGUGCAAAUCGAUCGUCAAAUUUGGGUAUAGGGGGCGAAAGACUAAUCGAACCAUCUUAGUAGCUGGUUCCUGCCCAAAGUUUCCCUCAAGGAUAGCAGUAACGGUUUUCAGUUUUUUUGAGG
rnacentral:rRNA from 1 species